AUUGAACGCUGGCGGCAUGCCUUACACAUGCAAGUCGAACGGCAGCACGGGUGCUUGCACCUGGUGGCGAGUGGCGAACGGGUGAGUAAUACAUCGGAACAUGUCCUGUAGUGGGGGGUAGCCCGGCGAAAGCCGGAUUAAUACCGCAUACGAUCCACGGAUGAAAGCGGGGGACCUUCGGGCCUCGCGCUAUAGGGUUGGCCGAUGGCUGAUUAGCUAGUUGGUGGGGUAAAGGCCUACCAAGGCGACGAUCAGUAGCUGGUCUGAGAGGACGACCAGCCACACUGGGACUGAGACACGGCCCAGACUCCUACGGGAGGCAGCAGUGGGGAAUUUUGGACAAUGGGCGAAAGCCUGAUCCAGCAAUGCCGCGUGUGUGAAGAAGGCCUUCGGGUUGUAAAGCACUUUUGUCCGGAAAGAAAUCCUUGACUCUAAUACAGUCGGGGGAUGACGGUACCGGAAGAAUAAGCACCGGCUAACUACGUG
rnacentral:rRNA from 1 species